ensembl:misc_RNA 7SK 7SK RNA
GGAUGUAAGGGUGAUCUGGCUGCAAUAUCUGUCACUCCACUGAGUGCAAGUAUUGAUUAGGCUGAGCUGGCUAGCUAGGCGAGGUCCCCUUCUGCCUUCCUCACUCUGUGUGUUCCUCUGGAACAUGUGAACUGGCUUGGUUGACUAGGAGGACCUUCCCUGAUAGAGGAGGAACAUAUAUGAGUAGCUGUACUUCCCUGCAGAACCUCCAAACAAUCUCUCAGCAUCCAUUUGUAGACUAUAGGGUUCCAAGACUCCAAACACAUCCAAAUGAGAUGUUGCAUGUGGUAGUCUGCUCUU